GGAGUGACCCGGGUAAUCGCGGCGACCAUCGGGUCGACGAGGAAAGUCCGGGCUGCACAGGGCAGGGUGCCGGAUAACGUCCGGCGGGGGUGACCCCGGGACAGUGCCACAGAAAGCAGACCGCCCCGCCAGGCGCGGGGUAAGGGUGAAAGGGUGCGGUAAGAGCGCACCGACCCGCUCGGCAACGGGCGGGGGCUUGGUAAACCCCACCCGCAGCAAGGCCGAAUAGGGAAGCAUACGGCGUGGCCCGCGCUGCUUCCGGGUAGGCCGCUCGAGUUUGUCAGCAAUGGCAAACCUAGAUGAAUGAUUACCGCCCCCGUAAGGGGGAACAGAACCCGGCUUACAGGGUCACUCCGACG
rnacentral:RNase_P_RNA from 1 species